rnacentral:rRNA from 1 species
UCCCUACGGGGCGCAGCAGUGGGGAAUAUUGGGCAAUGGGCGCAAGCCUGACCCAGCAAUGCCGCGUGAAGGAAGAAGGCCCUCGGGUUGUAAACUUCUUUUAUCAGGGACGAAGGAUGUGACGGUACCUGAUGAAUAAGCCACGGCUAACUACGUGCCAGCAGCCGCGGUAAUACGUAGGUGGCAAGCGUUGUCCGGAUUUACUGGGUGUAAAGGGCGUGUAGCCGGGCUGACAAGUCAGAUGUGAAAUCCGGGGGCUCAACCCCUGAACUGCAUUUGAAACUGUUGGUCUUGAGUAUCGGAGA